GACGAACGCUGGCGGCGUGCUUAACACAUGCAAGUCGAACGGAAAGGCCCUGCUUUUGUGGGGUGCUCGAGUGGCGAACGGGUGAGUAACACGUGAGUAACCUGCCCUUGACUUUGGGAUAACUUCAGGAAACUGGGGCUAAUACCGGAUAGGAGCUCCUGCUGCAUGGUGGGGGUUGGAAAGUUUCGGCGGUUGGGGAUGGACUCGCGGCUUAUCAGCUUGUUGGUGGGGUAGUGGCUGACCAAGGCUUUGACGGGUAGCCGGCCUGAGAGGGGGGCCGGCGACGUGGGGGCGGAGGGAGGGCGCAGCCGCCGCCGGGGGGAGGAGGGGGGAAGUAUGCAAGAGGGGGGGGAAGCGGGAGAAGGAAGCCCGGGGGGGGGAAGGAGGGCUUGGGGGUUAAAACACGCUGUCGCCGGUGACAAAGCGGGGGGGAGGGUAAUGGGUAAAGAAGCACGGGCUAACUGCGUG
rnacentral:rRNA from 1 species